rnacentral:rRNA from 1 species
CGGCGUGCCUAAUACAUGCGGUCGGAGCGAGCGGAUUUAACAGAUUUACUUCGGUAAUGACGUUAGGAAAGCGAGCGGCGGAUGGGUGAGUAACACCUGGGGAACCUGCCCCAUAUUCUGGGAUACAACUUGAAAAAGGUGCAAAUACCGGAUAAAAAAGCAAAUCGCAUGUUCAGCUUUUAAAAGGCGGCGUAAGCUGUCACUAUGGGAUGGCCCCGCGGUGCAUUGGCUAGUUGGUAAGGUAAAGGCUUACCAAGGCGAUGAUGCAUAGCCGAGUUGAGAGACUGAUCGGCCACUUUGGGACUGACACACGGCCCAAACUCCUACGGGAGGCAGAAUUAGGGAAUCUUCCACAAUGGACGAAGGUCUGAUGGACCACCGCCGCGUGAGUGAAKARGGUUUUCGGAUCGUAAAGYUCUGUUGUUGGKGAARAAGGAUARAGGUASUAACUGGCCUUUAUUUGACGGUAAUCAACCAGAAAGUCACGGCUAMCUACGUGCCAGCARCCGCGGUAAURCGUAGGUGGCAMGCGUUGUCCGGAUUUAUUGGGCGUAAAGCGAGCGCARGCGGAAGAAUAAKUCUGAUGUGAAASCCCUCGGCUUAACCGAGGAACUGCWUCGGAAACUGUUUUYCUUGAGUGCAGAAGAGGAGAGUGGAACUCCAUGUGWAGCGSUGGAAUGCGUAGAUAUAUGGAAGAACACCAGUGGCGAAGGCGGCUCUCUGGUCUGCAACUGACGCUGAGGCUCGAAAGCAUGGGUAGCGAACAGGAUUAGAUACCCUGGUAGUCCAUGCCGUAAACGAUGAGUGCUAAGUGUUGGGAGGUUUCCGCCUCUCAGUGCUGCAGCUAACGCAUUAAGCACUCCGCCUGGGGAGUACGACCGCAAGGUUGAAACUCAAAGGAAUUGACGGGGGCCCGCACAAGCGGUGGAGCAUGUGGUUUAAUUCGAAGCAACGCGAAGAACCUUACCAGGUCUUGACAUCUAGUGCCAUUUGUAGAGAUACAAAGUUCCCUUCGGGGACGCUAAGACAGGUGGUGCAUGGCUGUCGUCAGCUCGUGUCGUGAGAUGUUGGGUUAAGUCCCGCAACGAGCGCAACCCUUGUUAUUAGUUGCCAGCAUUAAGUUGGGCACUCUAAUGAGACUGCCGGUGACAAACCGGAGGAAGGUGGGGAUGACGUCAAGUCAUCAUGCCCCUUAUGACCUGGGCUACACACGUGCUACAAUGGGCAGUACAACGAGAAGCGAGCCUGCGAAGGCAAGCGAAUCUCUGAAAGCUGUUCUCAGUUCGGACUGCAGUCUGCAACUCGACUGCACGAAGCUGGAAUCGCUAGUAAUCGCGGAUCAGCACGCCGCGGUGAAUACGUUCCCGGGCCUUGUACACACCGCCCGUCACACCAUGGGAGUCUGCAAUGCCCAAAGCCGGUGGCCUAACCUUCGGGAAGGAGCCGUCUAAGGCAGGGCAGAUGACU